GACGAACGCUGGCGGCGUGCCUAAUACAUGCAAGUAGAACGCUGAAGCUUGGUGCUUGCACCGAGCGGAUGAGUUGCGAACGGGUGAGUAACGCGUAGGUAACCUGCCUGGUAGCGGGGGAUAACUAUUGGAAACGAUAGCUAAUACCGCAUAACAGUAGAUAUCGCAUGAUAGCUACUUGAAAGGUGCAAAUGCACCACUACCAGAUGGACCUGCGUUGUAUUAGCUAGUUGGUGAGGUAACGGCUCACCAAGGCAACGAUACAUAGCCGACCUGAGAGGGUGAUCGGCCACACUGGGACUGAGACACGGCCCAGACUCCUACGGGAGGCAGCAGUAGGGAAUCUUCGGAAAUGGACGGAAGUCUGAACGAGCAACGCCGCGUGAGUGAAGAAGGUUUUCGGAUCGUAAAGCUCUGUUGUAAGAGAAGAACGAGUGUGAGAGUGGAAAGUUCACACUGUGACGGUAUCUUACCAGAAAGGGACGGCUAACUACGUG
rnacentral:rRNA from 1 species